GGGUUGUGAGGUUAAGCGACUAAGCGUACACGGUGGAUGCCCUGGCAGUCAGAGGCGAUGAAGGACGUGCUAAUCUGCGAUAAGCGUCGGUAAGGUGAUAUGAACCGUUAUAACCGGCGAUUUCCGAAUGGGGAAACCCAGUGUGAUUCGUCACACUAUCAUUAACUGAAUCCAUAGGUUAAUGAGGCGAACCGGGGGAACUGAAACAUCUAAGUACCCCGAGGAAAAGAAAUCAACCGAGAUUCCCCCAGUAGCGGCGAGCGAACGGGGAGCAGCCCAGAGCCUGAAUCAGUGUGUGUGUUAGUGGAAGCGUCUGGAAAGGCGCGCGAUACAGGGUGACAGCCCCGUACACAAAAAUGCACAUGCUGUGAGCUCGAUGAGUAGGGCGGGACACGUGGUAUCCUGUCUGAAUAUGGGGGGACCAUCCUCCAAGGCUAAAUACUCCUGACUGACCGAUAGUGAACCAGUACCGUGAGGGAAAGGCGAAAAGAACCCCGGCGAGGGGAGUGAAAAAGAACCUGAAACCGUGUACGUACAAGCAGUGGGAGCACAGGCUCUGUGUGACUGCGUACCUUUUGUAUAAUGGGUCAGCGACUUAUAUUCUGUAGCAAGGUUAACCGAAUAGGGGAGCCGAAGGGAAACCGAGUCUUAACUGGGCGUUAAGUUGCAGGGUAUAGACCCGAAACCCGGUGAUCUAGCCAUGGGCAGGUUGAAGGUUGGGUAACACUAACUGGAGGACCGAACCGACUAAUGUUGAAAAAUUAGCGGAUGACUUGUGGCUGGGGGUGAAAGGCCAAUCAAACCGGGAGAUAGCUGGUUCUCCCCGAAAGCUAUUUAGGUAGCGCCUCGUGAAUUCAUCUCCGGGGGUAGAGCACUGUUUCGGCAAGGGGGUCAUCCCGACUUACCAACCCGAUGCAAACUGCGAAUACCGGAGAAUGUUAUCACGGGAGACACACGGCGGGUGCUAACGUCCGUCGUGAAGAGGGAAACAACCCAGACCGCCAGCUAAGGUCCCAAAGUCAUGGUUAAGUGGGAAACGAUGUGGGAAGGCCCAGACAGCCAGGAUGUUGGCUUAGAAGCAGCCAUCAUUUAAAGAAAGCGUAAUAGCUCACUGGUCGAGUCGGCCUGCGCGGAAGAUGUAACGGGGCUAAACCAUGCACCGAAGCUGCGGCAGCGACGCUUAUGCGUUGUUGGGUAGGGGAGCGUUCUGUAAGCCUGUGAAGGUGUACUGUGAGGUAUGCUGGAGGUAUCAGAAGUGCGAAUGCUGACAUAAGUAACGAUAAAGCGGGUGAAAAGCCCGCUCGCCGGAAGACCAAGGGUUCCUGUCCAACGUUAAUCGGGGCAGGGUGAGUCGACCCCUAAGGCGAGGCCGAAAGGCGUAGUCGAUGGGAAACAGGUUAAUAUUCCUGUACUUGGUGUUACUGCGAAGGGGGGACGGAGAAGGCUAUGUUGGCCGGGCGACGGUUGUCCCGGUUUAAGCGUGUAGGCUGGUUUUCCAGGCAAAUCCGGAAAAUCAAGGCUGAGGCGUGAUGACGAGGCACUACGGUGCUGAAGCAACAAAUGCCCUGCUUCCAGGAAAAGCCUCUAAGCAUCAGGUAACAUCAAAUCGUACCCCAAACCGACACAGGUGGUCAGGUAGAGAAUACCAAGGCGCUUGAGAGAACUCGGGUGAAGGAACUAGGCAAAAUGGUGCCGUAACUUCGGGAGAAGGCACGCUGAUAUGUAGGUGAAGUCCCUCGCGGAUGGAGCUGAAAUCAGUCGAAGAUACCAGCUGGCUGCAACUGUUUAUUAAAAACACAGCACUGUGCAAACACGAAAGUGGACGUAUACGGUGUGACGCCUGCCCGGUGCCGGAAGGUUAAUUGAUGGGGUCAGCGCAAGCGAAGCUCUUGAUCGAAGCCCCGGUAAACGGCGGCCGUAACUAUAACGGUCCUAAGGUAGCGAAAUUCCUUGUCGGGUAAGUUCCGACCUGCACGAAUGGCGUAAUGAUGGCCAGGCUGUCUCCACCCGAGACUCAGUGAAAUUGAACUCGCUGUGAAGAUGCAGUGUACCCGCGGCAAGACGGAAAGACCCCGUGAACCUUUACUAUAGCUUGACACUGAACAUUGAGCCUUGAUGUGUAGGAUAGGUGGGAGGCUUUGAAGUGUGGACGCCAGUCUGCAUGGAGCCGACCUUGAAAUACCACCCUUUAAUGUUUGAUGUUCUAACGUUGACCCGUAAUCCGGGUUGCGGACAGUGUCUGGUGGGUAGUUUGACUGGGGCGGUCUCCUCCUAAAGAGUAACGGAGGAGCACGAAGGUUGGCUAAUCCUGGUCGGACAUCAGGAGGUUAGUGCAAUGGCAUAAGCCAGCUUGACUGCGAGCGUGACGGCGCGAGCAGGUGCGAAAGCAGGUCAUAGUGAUCCGGUGGUUCUGAAUGGAAGGGCCAUCGCUCAACGGAUAAAAGGUACUCCGGGGAUAACAGGCUGAUACCGCCCAAGAGUUCAUAUCGACGGCGGUGUUUGGCACCUCGAUGUCGGCUCAUCACAUCCUGGGGCUGAAGUAGGUCCCAAGGGUAUGGCUGUUCGCCAUUUAAAGUGGUACGCGAGCUGGGUUUAGAACGUCGUGAGACAGUUCGGUCCCUAUCUGCCGUGGGCGCUGGAGAACUGAGGGGGGCUGCUCCUAGUACGAGAGGACCGGAGUGGACGCAUCACUGGUGUUCGGGUUGUCAUGCCAAUGGCACUGCCCGGUAGCUAAAUGCGGAAGAGAUAAGUGCUGAAAGCAUCUAAGCACGAAACUUGCCCCGAGAUGAGUUCUCCCUGACUCCUUGAGAGUCCUGAAGGAACGUUGAAGACGACGACGUUGAUAGGCCGGGUGUGUAAGCGCAGCGAUGCGUUGAGCUAACCGGUACUAAUGAACCGUGAGGCUUAACCUUACAACGCCGAAG
rnacentral:rRNA from 1 species